UACGAAGGGGGCUAGCGUUGCUCGGAUUGACUGGGCGUAAAGGGCGCGUAGGCGGAUAGUACAGUCAGGCGUGAAAUUCCUGGGCUCAACCUGGGGGCUGCGUUUGAUACGUAUUGUCUGGAGUUCGGAAGAGGGUCGUGGAAUUCCCAGUGUAGAGGUGAAAUUCGUAGAUAUUGGGAAGAACACCGGUGGCGAAGGCGGCGACCUGGUCCGAUACUGACGCUGAGGCGCGAAAGCGUGGGGAGCGAAUGGG
rnacentral:rRNA from 1 species